CAGGGUGAUUAGAAUUUUAUAUGACAGCAAUUUUCUUUUAUGUAAAAUAUUAUAUACGAAAAACAAUAAAAUGUUUAUGGAUACUAUUGAUUAAUCAAGGUAUACGGAAAGAUCAGAUUACUGUUUACGAUUUGUUCACUUAAAUUAGAUUAAUUUUUACUAUACUGAAUUUUUAAUUAUUAAUGAAGCCAUAAAAAAAAUUAAUGAGAUAUAACUAUAAUACAAUUAUAAAAUAAAUACUGUAGAUGAUGGUACUGUCAAUUGCGUAUGAUUAGGCAUAAUACAAUAUGUAGAAUAAAUAAUAAUAUUUAGUUUUUUAUGUUUUCAGCAAAUGGGGUACAACCAUUUGCCUCCAGUGCUCUCUCUCGAUCCGCUUUUGUACCUAAUCUAAAAUUAUAAUGUUUUUAAAUAUUUUAGACGUACGUGUUACACAGUUUUUUUUAAAAAACUUUAAAUCACUCUCGGGCAAAAGAAUUUUGCGUUAAAAUGUGUUUUUCAACUACUUUUAUGUGAUGUUUGUAAAAAAUAGAAAUAAAUUAUGGGUUCUCAUUUGAAUUUUAAUAGUUCACCCCAAAAGGGCGUCUACAAUUUUAAAAAUCACA